GAUGAAUGAGAGCAAAAAAGACCCGAGCUCUCUGUCACGUGACAAAUGAAACGAAUCUGCGAGAACGAAGCGAAAGAUUAGUUCACAGAGAGUGAUUCGUUCAUAGUGACUAGUUCACUGUGUAAUGAUGACGCAGUUGACCCUAGCGUACGCUCACGUAUUGGACACCAAGAAUGUUUUGACAUGAUCAGCUGACAACAGCUGUCGACUGUGGGACUGCGAGACCGAACACGCUAAGGACCACAGCAGGCGCCUCAACAACAUUCCUCACCAUGUUCAUCAGUGCCUCAAAGGACAACACUGCCAAGGUAAGAACUUACUAAUGUAAAUGGUUGAUGUGAUAACAGUUGUUGAAAAAUGUUAUAAAUAAAGUCAUCAGAAUGACACCUGGCUGGCCAUCAAGGAGAACGCCCAGAGAAGAG